UACGGGGGGGAGCAAGCGUUGUUCGGAUUUACUGGGCGUAAAGGGCGCGUAGGCGGUCAGCACAAGUCAGUUGUGAAAUCUCCGGGCUUAACUCGGAAAGGUCAACUGAUACUGUGCGACUAGAGUGCGGAAGGGGCAACUGGAAUUCUCGGUGUAGCGGUGAAAUGCGUAGAUAUGCGGAGGAACACCGAUGGCGAAGGCAAUCCCCUGGGCCUGCACUGACGCUCAUGCACGAAAGCGUGGGUAGCAAACAGG
rnacentral:rRNA from 1 species